AUGGUUCGGAUGAGCGACUUCGGCAUCCGCUUCUUCUUGUCCCUCCCGAUGGUUCCCACCGUCGACGAAAUCCUCGGCGCCGGCGCCGGCGGGGUGUUCCCUCCAGGGUGGAUCCAUGGAAGGAAGAAGUUCCUUGAUGAGCAUUGUCAGGUCAAGAACAGGAGGGAUGGAGACAAGAUCGGGCUGAUGGACAAGAUCCGCGUAGAUUUGCUCACUAGGGGCUUCGUUGAGGUGCAGAAGGAGUAUGUGGAGUUGAGCUCUGAUGAUGAGAAGGACUCGGACGAUGAUGAUUGUCCCUACGAACCAUAUGAUGAGAACAACCCCGGAGGUGUGGUCCUGCUGAUCUGA
rnacentral:rRNA from 1 species